AGAGUUUGAUCCUGGCUCAGGACGAACGCUGGCGGCGUGCCUAAUACAUGCAAGUCGAGCGAGCGGAACUAACAGAUUUACUUCGGUAAUGACGUUAGGAAAGCGAGCGGCGGAUGGGUGAGUAACACGUGGGGAACCUGCCCCAUAGUCUGGGAUACCACUUGGAAACAGGUGCUAAUACCGGAUAAGAAAGCAGAUCGCAUGAUCAGCUUUUAAAAGGCGGCGUAAGCUGUCGCUAUGGGAUGGCCCCGCGGUGCAUUAGCUAGUUGGUAAGGUAAAGGCUUACCAAGGCGAUGAUGCAUAGCCGAGUUGAGAGACUGAUCGGCCACAUUGGGACUGAGACACGGCCCAAACUCCUACGGGAGGCAGCAGUAGGGAAUCUUCCACAAUGGACGCAAGUCUGAUGGAGCAACGCCGCGUGAGUGAAGAAGGUUUUCGGAUCGUAAAGCUCUGUUGUUGGUGAAGAAGGAUAGAGGUAGUAACUGGCCUUUAUUUGACGGUAAUCAACCAGAAAGUCACGGCUAACUACGUGCCAGCAGCCGCGGUAAUACGUAGGUGGCAAGCGUUGUCCGGAUUUAUUGGGCGUAAAGCGAGCGCAGGCGGAAGAAUAAGUCUGAUGUGAAAGCCCUCGGCUUAACCGAGGAACUGCAUCGGAAACUGUUUUUCUUGAGUGCAGAAGAGGAGAGUGGAACUCCAUGUGUAGCGGUGGAAUGCGUAGAUAUAUGGAAGAACACCAGUGGCGAAGGCGGCUCUCUGGUCUGCAACUGACGCUGAGGCUCGAAAGCAUGGGUAGCGAACAGGAUUAGAUACCCUGGUAGUCCAUGCCGUAAACGAUGAGUGCUAAGUGUUGGGAGGUUUCCGCCUCUCAGUGCUGCAGCUAACGCAUUAAGCACUCCGCCUGGGGAGUACGACCGCAAGGUUGAAACUCAAAGGAAUUGACGGGGGCCCGCAC
rnacentral:rRNA from 1 species